rnacentral:lncRNA from 1 species
GGAAAUAUUUAAUUCAGGCCCUAGAUUCUGUGGUCCUAGAAAUUUAUCUUAAGAAUUUUUUUAAAUCACAUUUAUAAAGAACAGUAUACAGGCAUACCUUUAUUUUAUCACAAUUCGCCAAUAUUGCAUUUUUUACAAAUUGCACGUUUGUUGCAGCCCCGCAUCAAGCAAAUCUAUUGGCACAUUUUUUUUCCAACCGCCUGUACUCGCUUCAUGUCUUUGUGUCACAUUUUGGUAACUCUUGAAAUAUGUUAAUUUAUUAUUAUUAUUAUAUCUGCUAUGCUGAUCUGUGGUCAGUAAUCUUUGAUGGUACUAUUGUAAUUUAUUUGAGGUGCCAGAAACCAUGCCUAUAUAAGAAAGAAAACUUAAUUCUAUAAAUUACACAUUUAUGUUGUGUGUAUUCUGUCUGCUCCACUGACUGGCUGUUCAUCAAACUGUCUCUAUCUCUCCUGGGGCCCCCUAUUCCCUGAGAAACAGAAGUAUUAAAAUUAGGCCAUUUAAUAACUCAAUAAUGGUCUUUGAGUGUUCAGGUGAAAGGAAGAGUCACAUGUCUUUCACUUUAAGCCAAAAGGUGCAUGUAAUUAAGCUUAGUGAGGAAAGCAUGUCAAAAGUAGAAAUAAGCCAAAAGCUAGGCUUCUUGUGCCAGUUAGUGAGGUUGUGAAUGCAGAGGAAAAUUUCCUGAAGAAAAUUUAAAGUGCUAACCCAGUGAACACACAAAUGAUAAGAAAGCAAAACAGCCUUAUUGCUGAUAUGGAGAAAGUUUCAGCAGUCUGGAAUGAAGAUCAAACCAACCAUAAAAUUCUGUUAAGUCAAAGCCUAAUCCAGAGCAAGACCCUAACGUUCUUCAAUUAUAUGAAGACUGAGAGAGGUAGGAAGGUGCAGAAGAAAAGUGGGAAGCCAACAGAGGUUGGUUCAUGAGGUUUAAGGAAAACUUUAUUCUUAAUAUUAAAGUGCAAGAUGAAGCAGCAAGAGCUGAUGGAGAAAGCUGUAGCAAGUUUUCCAGAAAAUCUUGCUAAGAUGAUAGAGAAAGUGAUUAUAUUAAACAACACAUUUUCAAUAUAGAUAAAACAGCCUUUGAAUAGAAGGUGUUUAUCUAAAACUUCCAUAGAUAGAGAGGAGGAGUCAAUGCCUGGUUUCAAACCUUCAAAGAAAAGGCUGAUCCUCUUUUUGGGGCUUAGUGCAGCUAGUGACUUUAAGCUGAAGUCAGUGUUCACUUACCAUUCUGAAAAUUCGAUGGCCUUUAAGAGUUAUGCUAAAACAACUCUUCCUGUGCUCUACAGAUGGAAGAACCAAGCCUGGACAACAGCACAUCUACUUGCAGCAUGGUUGACUGAAUAUUUUAAGCCUGAUGUUUUAAGCUCAGAAAAAAUGAUUGCUUUCAAAAUAUUACUGCUGAUUGACAAUGCACCUGUUUUACUCAAGAGGUCUGAGGGAGAUGUGUAAGAUUAAUGUUGUUUUCAUGCCUGCUAACACAACAUCCAUUCAGCAGCCCAUGGGUCAAUGAGUCAUUUUAACUUUCAAGUCUAAUUUAAGAAAUAUAUUUUGUAAGGCUAUAGCUGCCAUAGGUAAUGAUACCUCUAAUGAUUCUGGGAGAAGUAAACUGAAAAUCUUCUGGAAAGAAUUAUCCAUUCUAGAUGUCAUUAAGAACAUUCAUGAUUCAUAGGAGGAGGUCAAAAUAUCAACUUUUUCUCAAACAGAAGUUUGGAAAAAAGUUGAUUCCAAACCUCAUGAAUGACUUCGAGGGGUUCAAGACUCACUUGAAGAAGUAACUGCCUAUGUGUAAACAUAGCAAAAUAAAUAGAAUUAGAAGUUCAGCUGCAAGAAGUGACAAAAUUAUUGCAAUUUCAUGAUGAAAUUUGAAUGCAUGAGAAGUUGCUUUUUGUGAAUAAGCAGACAGUGCUUUUUUGAAAUGGAACCUACUCGUGGUAAAGAUGCUGUAAACAUUGUUGAAAGGACACCAGGAUUUAGAAUAUUAUAUAAACUUAGUUGAUAAAGCAGCAGCAAGUUUUGAGGGGAUUGACUUCAUUUACAAAAGACAUUCUACUAUGGGUAAAAUACUAUAAAACAGCAUCACAAGCUACAGAGAAAUCUUUUGUAAAAGGAAGAGUCAAUCAAUGCAGCAAACUUUGCUGACCAGGAGUGGUGGUGCAUGCUUGUAAUUCCAGCACUUAGGGAGGCUGAGGCAGGAGGAUCAGUUGAGCCGAGGGGAAAGAGGCCAACCUGGGCAACAUAGCGAGAUACUGUCUCUACAAAAACUAAAAGAUUAGUCAAUGUGGUGGUGUGUGCCUGAGGUCCCAGCUACUCGAGAGGCUGAGGCAGGAGGAUUCCUUGAGCCCAGGAUGUCAAGGCUGCAAUGAGCCGUGUUUACUCUGGCCUGGGUAAAAGAUCAAGAUCCUAUUAAAAAAAAAAAAAGAAAGAAAAAAAAGAAAAAAAAAGAAAAGAGAAACUGCCACAGCCAGCUCAACCUUUAGCAGCCACCUCCCUGCUCAGUCAGCAGCCAAAAACAUCAAGGCAAGAUCCUCCCCCAGCAAAAACAUUAUGAUUCUCUGAAGGCUCAGAUGAACAAGAGGACUUUUUAGUAAUGAAGUAUUUUUAAGAGCAUUUUUUAGUAAUAAAAUAUUUUUAAUUAUGUACUUUGAGGCCGGGUGCAGUGGCUCAUGCCUGUAAUUCCAGCACUUUGGGAGGCCAAGGUGGGCAGAUCACCUGAGGUCAGGAGUUAGAGACCAGCCUGGAAAACAUAGCAAAACCCCAUCUCUACUAAAAAUACAAAAAUUAGCUGGCCGUGGUGGCACGUGCCUGUAAUCCCAGCUGCUCAGGAGGCUGAGGCAGGAGAAUUGCUUGAACCCGGGAUGCAGAGGUUACAGUGAGCCAAGAUCACACCACUGCACUCCAGCCUGGGCAAGAGUGAAACUCCAUCGCAAAAAAAAAAAAGGAUAUUGUUCUUUUAGACAUAAUGCUACACAUUUAAUAAUCAACGGUAUAGUGUAAACAUAAGUUUUAAAUGCUCUUGAAACCAAAAAAAAACUUGUGUGAUACACUUUAUUGUGAUAUUCUCUUAAUCGUAUAGUCUAGAAACCCACAAUAACUCCAAGCUAUAUCUGUACAUUUCUUCAUUAAUAUAUCUUAAAAAGGUGAAAUCGUUUCAAUUCAUUCAAUUUAAAUAAGCUAACAUUCUCUGGCAUCUUCCUAUGGUCCUAUACACAGUGGUUGAUAUUGUAAAAAAUGCUAAAAUAAAUAGUAUCUAGAAUUUUUUAUAGCCAAAUCAUAUUUCAUUGUAUGAACAUAUGUUAUUUUCUUUAUCUAUUUAUCUGUCAAUGGAAACUUGAAUUGUUUCUCUAUCUUUUUGUUGUUAAUAAUGCUGCAAUAAACAUGAAAGUGCAGAUACCACUUUGAGAUCCUGA